CGCGGGGCCAUGGCGCGCGCUGCCCGAGGUUGCAGGGGGUAGAACUUCAGGAGCUACUGGGCGCAGACCAGGUGAAGGAGAUUGGAGGCUACAACCUUGUAUGCUUUGAAAGAUCAGGAAAGCAAGCCACUAGGAGGUCUAGGAAUGGUGUCAAUGUUGGGGUUUGCAACCAUAGUUUUAAGACCCAGAGGAGCAAUGGACAAUUUCAGGACUCAGGCUAUUAAUAGCUGAGAAAGGAACUCAUUUAGCAUCAAUUAAGUAAUCAAACAAUAUGUUCUAGCUGUAAGUCUGACUACAACCAUUGAAGGAAAGAACAAUGAAAUAUUGUUCCAGCUGAAGGCACCUCAGAGAUCAUUUUGUGUCACCCUUCAUUUUUACAUUGUGCAAACUGAGAUGCAGAAGGUUGAAUAACCUGCUCACAUUCACACAAGUAGUUAGUGGCAAAAUUCUGAGUCAAUAUGAGGUCUCCUGACUCUAAGGCUAAUGUUCUUUCUGCUAAACUCAGCUGACUCCCUAAUCCAUCAUGUAUUUUUGCAAUUGCUUCUACCCUUGGCUUUCUUCCUGGAUCUGAUCAUAUGAUUGGGUCAUAAACUUUUUGGGAUUUUUUCCCCUGUUUUCAUAAAAAUGCUCCCAGUUCUGGAGAAGGAAGGAAGUCCUUGCAGUGGAUCAGUGGUAAGGUGUUUAUUUAAGUCAAAAUUAUCAACCGAAGGAACUUAACUAAAGAGUAAAUAUUUAUUAGCCUGAGCAGUCAAACAUGAUUGCUAUCUUGCCUUUUAAGAUGAACAGGAAAGAGAAUGACUCAUUUAAACAACUGUUUGCAGUAUUUAAUCUAAACUAACACACUAUAAUAUGUACAAUAGCUCAGGAUAUUACUUCAAUAUACUGCAAAAUAAUUUUAUAAUCAGAAAGAGCAAUGUUCUUCAUAAGUAAACCAUAUUUUGAAGGCUAAUCUAACCUUGAUUAACUAGAAUGCUGGGGAAAUUGUGCAUUCUAAUUAAUUACAUUUUUGGCCUGUGGGCUAACCAAAAAAAUUCUUUUUUGUUUUUGACUCUGGGGAUUGAUUUUUUUCUUAGGAUACAUUAGACCACUUCUUUUGUUUUAAAAGGUUUAGUGGAGUGUCCAUGGGUGAAUUUCUUUUUGAUGUCAAGAUUUCUUGCCUUUUCCUUUCAGAUCACCAUCAUCUACUCUGUAUAUAUCUUGUAAGUAUGCAGUUAUUGACA